AUUGCCUUAGUAACGGCGAGUGAAGCGGCAACAGCUCAAAUUUGAAAUCUGGCCCCGUCGGGGUCCGAGUUGUAAUUUGUAGAGAGUGUUUCGGGCGAGACCACGGUCUAAGUCUAUUGGAACAUGGCGUCAUAGAGGGUGAGAAUCCCGUAUGUGACCGUGGCUCGAGCCCAUGUGAAGCCUCUUCGACGAGUCGAGUUGUUUGGGAAUGCAGCUCAAAAUGGGUGGUAAAUUUCAUCUAAAGCUAAAUACUGGCUGGAGACCGAUAGCGCACAAGUAGAGUGAUCGAAAGAUGAAAAGCACUUUGGAAAGAGAGUCAAAAAGUACGUGAAAUUGUUGAAAGGGAAGCGCUUGCAACCAGACCUGUCCGUAGGUGAUCAGCCGCUGUUCUCAGUGGUGCACUCGCUCUGCGAUCAGGCCAGCAUCGGUUCCGGCGGUCGGAUAAAGGCCUUGGGAAUGUAGCUCCCUUCGGGGAGUCUUAUAGCCCUCGGUGCAAUGCGGCCAGCCGGGACCGAGGACCGCGCUUCGGCUAGGAUGCUGGCGUAAUGGUUGUAAGCGACCCGUCUUGAAACACGGACCAAGGAGUCUAACAUCUAUGCGAGUGUUUGGGUGUUAAACCCAUGCGCGGAAUGAAAGUGAACGGAGGUGAGAACCCUUUAGGGCGCAUCAUCGACCGAUCCAGAUGUCUUCGGAUGGAUUUGAGUAUGAGCAUAGCUGUUGGGACCCGAAAGAUGGUGAACUAUGCCUGAAUAGGGUGAAGCCAGAGGAAACUCUGGUGGAGGCUCGCAGCGGUUCUGACGUGCAAAUCGAUCGUCAAAUUU
rnacentral:rRNA from 1 species